GGCACGGUACGCCAACUGGCAGUGCGACCAAGCUCAAACCUUGGUGUGUGUGGGUUCAAAUCCCUCCCGUGCUAC
rnacentral:tRNA from 1 species